GAGAGGGAGCCUGAGAAACGGCUACCACAUCUAAGGAAGGCAGCAGGCGCGUAAAUUACCCACUCCCAGUUCGGGGAGGUAGUGACGAAAAAUAACAAUACAGGACUCAUAUCCGAGGCCCUGUAAUUGGAAUGAGUACACUUUAAAUCCUUUAACAAGGACCAAUUGGAGGGCAAGUCUGGUGCCAGCAGCCGCGGUAAUUCCAGCUCCAAUAGCGUAUAUUAAAGUUGUUGCGGUUAAAACGUUCGUAGUUGAAUUUGUGCUUCAUACGGGUAGUACAACUACAAUUGUGGAUUGUACAUUACCUUAUGUAUGUAAGCGUAUUACCGGUGGAGUUCUAAUAUAUAAUGGUACUUGUAUUGUUAUGUAUACCUCCUAUUUAAACCUGCUUCAGUGCUCUUUACCGAGUGCUGUUGUGGGCCGGUACAAUUACUUUGAACAAAUUAGAGUGCUUAAAGCAGGCUCCAAAUGCCUGAAUAUUUUGUGCAUGGAAUAAUGAAAUAAGACUUCUGAUCUAUCUUCAUUGGUUUUUAGAUCAAGAGGUAAUGAUUAAUAGAAGCAGUUUGGGGGCAUUAGUAUUACGACGCGAGAGGUGAAAUUCUUGGACCGUCGUAAGACUAACUUAAGCGAAAGCAUUUGCCAAAGAUGUUUUCAUUAAUCAAGAACGAAAGUUAGAGGUUC
rnacentral:rRNA from 2 species